UACAGAGGGUGCAAGCGUUGUUCGGAAUUACUGGGCGUAAAGCGAGUGUAGGCGGCCUAUUAAGUCAGAUGUGAAAUCCCUUGGCUCAACCGAGGAACUGCAUCUGAUACUGGUAGGCUUGAGUGUCGGAGGGGAUGGUAGAAUUCCUGGUGUAGAGGUGAAAUUCGUAGAUAUCAGGAGGAAUACCUGUGGCGAAGGCGACCAUCUGGAAGACAACUGACGCUGAGACUCGAAAGCGUGGGUAGCAAACAGG
rnacentral:rRNA from 1 species